rnacentral:lncRNA from 10 species
UUUUCUGCUACUUCACAGAUCAAUACCAGGAGGAAGGAGAAGACCUGUGAUCUGUUUCUUUCCCUUUAUGAGGAGAUGGUGUACAUGCCCAAGAAGGAGAGAAGAUAGGAGGCCAGGCACAGUAUCCUUGUGAACAUGGCUGCAGAUGGCUUCAUGUUAUUACAGCUGCUGAAUCAACUUACAUUGGCUGCAGAAUUCUGUUGCCCUUGCCACAGAAAAUGACCUUGAUGGAUAGAAGAAUUCUCUGGGCUCGUUUCAGAAGACAAUAGCAAAAGAAGAAUUAAUUCAAAUGAUGGGUUAAUAUGUACCUUAGGCUCCAUCAAAUAAUC